GAUGAACGCUGGCGGCGUGCCUAACACAUGCAAGUCGAGCGCGAUUAAUUGGACUGGAGACUUCGGUCAAAGGGAAGAUUAUGAAAGCGGCGGACGGGUGAGUAACGCGUGAGCAACCUGCCCUGUACAGGGGGAUAGCCACUGGAAACGGUGAUUAAUACCCCAUAAACCCACAAGAUCGCAUGAUCAAAUGGGCAAAGUACCAACGGUACAGGAUGGGCUCGCGUCUGAUUAGCUAGUUGGUGAGGCAAUAGCUUACCAAGGCGAUGAUCAGUAGCUGGUCCGAGAGGAUGAUCAGCCACACUGGGACUGAGACACGGCCCAGACUCCUACGGGAGCUG
rnacentral:rRNA from 1 species